AUUGAACGCUGGCGGCAGGCCUAACACAUGCAAGUCGAGCGGAGCGGCGGACGGGUGAGUAAUGCCUAGGAAUCUGCCUGGUCGUGGGGGAUAACGUCCGGAAACGGGCGCUAAUACCGCAUACUCUCAGAUGAGCCUAGGUCGGAUUAGCUAGGUGGUGGGUGAAAGGCCUACCAAGGCGACGAUCCGUAACUGGUCUGAGAGGAUGAUCAGUCACACUGGGACUGAGACACGGUCCAGACUCCUACGGGAGGCAGCAGUGGGGAAUAUUGGACAAUGGGCGAAAGCCUGAUCCAGCCAUGCCGCGUGUGUGAAGAAGGCCUUCGGGUUGUAAAGUACUUGUGGCAGAGAAGCGGUAUCUGCAGAAGAAGCACCGGCUAACUACGUGCCAGCAGCCGCGGUAAUUC
rnacentral:rRNA from 1 species